CUAUUCUCAUAUCAGUCCCAUUCUCGAUCCCAACCUACGCCGCCGCACCUGCGUGUCGCCCUACCCAGCAUCGCUGCACUGCAACCUCUGCCUCCGUCCCUGUGCCACCGCACCAGCGGAAUCCAUGGCGGCCGCAGCUGCCCUGGUCUCCCUCCUGUCUGCCCGUCCUGCAUUCUCCCUCCUAAUCCCACUCCCGCACUAGCCCUGCCACACCCCCAAACCCUAGAUCCGGUCGGUCGGGAGAUCAAGAUGGCGGCGGCGGCGCUGGCGCCAUUCCCCUCGCGCUUCAAGCCGGCCAGCAAGGAGAUAAAGACGGCGGCGGGCAAGAGGUUCUCUAACCCGAAGCUGUUGUGGCGCCUCCUCCUACUGCCCCCAUCCAGUCGAGCUCCGGCGCGAUGAUACCUCCUCACGGCGGCCCCCAUCCCGUCGAUCUCCAGCGCGACGGCGCCUCCAUCAGUCAAUUGGAAUUAUAGGCAGCUCUGAUUGUUGCUUUUUCACAUUGAUUAAUGAUUAGUGCGUGUGUUGCACUCCCAUCCAUGCCCAAGAAGAGCCACGGGAUGGCUCCGUGAUUGAGUUAUGUGGUUGUGCCACUUCAAAUAUGGGAAGAAAGAUGAAGAUGCUGGUCCUUUGCUAUUGAUGUUUUUUUUAAUGGUUGACGACUUGCACAGAUCGCUUCUGCAAUAUUUGAGUUGGUGCCAUCUAGAACUACUGAUUUCGGUUGAUGUAGUUAUAAAUAGUGAAGUUCUGAAUUUUUUUCUGUGUUAAUGUUUGAUGAUGGUUUUCACUUCUACAUGAAGUUUCUGUUUUAGAAGCAUAUUUAUGCUCCUGUUGUUCACUGUUGGAUGAAGUUUAUGUUCCAGAAAUGCUCUUAUAUAUUGUUCACACCUGCAUAUACUGUUGGAUGAAGUUUUAUGUUUUGUAUCUGACAGUAUCAUUUUUUACUUUUAAAUGAAAAGAAUGUUGUCUCCUUU